rnacentral:lncRNA from 1 species
CUGGGAUUGCAAGUGUGAGUCACUGCACCUGGCUAUCACUGUUUUUGUUGUUGUUGUUGUUGUUGUUGUUGUUGUUUUUAAGACAGAGUCUCGCUCUGUUGCCCAGGCUGGAGUGCAGUGGCACAAUCUUGGCUCACUGCAACGUCGGCCUCCCGGGUUCAAGCAUUUCUUUUCCCUCAGCCUCCCGAGUAGAUGGGAUUACAGUCAUGCACUACCACGCCCGGCUAAUUUUUGUAUUUUUAGUAGAGAUGGGGUUUUGUCAUGUUGGUCAGACUGGUUUCGAACUCCUAGCCUCCAGUAAUCUACCCACUUCGGCUUCCCAAAGUGCUCGGAUUACAGACGUGAGCUACUGCACCCAACCCGCCUCACCGUUUUUAAAUGGGUUACCACAUAUGUAAAUAGAAUAGCUCAAUAAAUAUUCACUCCAUAACUGCAGGAGUUAGGGGAAAGGGAAAGAAGGUAAGACAAGGUCAACAGAAGACCUGCACCCCAGAAAAUCCAACCCCCAUGGGGCACAGUCCAACGUGGGGGUGGGAAGAAUUUACAUCUUUGCCACCAAAGAAACAAAUCUUUGCCCCACAGCCUGGGAUUACCAGGGCAACCCUCAACGUGAGGGUAGGGGAAAACAGAAGAGGGGAUCCAUUUUUCAGGGGGAACAUGCUUGUCUUGGCAGUUUCUCUCCUCAAAGAUCCUGAGACCUCCAAACAAGACCCUCGGGCCCCGGUUGGCUGGGGAGCGUUGAGCACGCCCAAGGAACGUGGACACAAGCCCCUCUGUAAUGGUGUGCCUAUCAGGGGUCAGGGAUCCAGCCUGGUCCACGGUGACCCCGGCGGGCAGGUUCGGCACAGUUUACUUGCUGAGCGCUUACAGAGUGUUCAGUGCGGUUUAAACCCAUUCACUCCUCUCGACAGCCUCAGGCGGUUGAGGCUGUUACCAUCCCAUUUUACAGAUGAGUAAAUUGAGGCACGUGGAGCGGGACGGUGAAGCGACUUGCUCAGGACCUCACAGCACUGCUGCCCCUGGUUUUGUCUGGACUGGAGGUAGCCGGAGAGCCGGG